rnacentral:rRNA from 1 species
AGCAGCCGCGGUAAUUCCAGCUCCAAUAGCGUAUAUUAAAGUUGUUGCAGUUAAAAAGCUCGUAGUUGAAUUUCGGGAUCAAUACGUCGGUCGUGCCUCCGGUACGUACUGGCGUCGUUGAUUUCUCCCUUCUGAUGAGCCACGAUGUCAUUAAUUUGAUGUUGCGGGGAGUCAGGACUGUUACUUUGAAAAAAUUAGAGUGUUUAAAGCAGGCAA